UUAAAGGGUGUUUGCCGCUUCGUGGCUUCUUGUUCGCACGUGGGCUGGGGUUUCGGCUUCGGUCCGCGAUUUAUGGCUAUCAAGACAUACCUACCCAACUUGUAAUUUUUAGAGCAGAGAGGCUGUUGGCUAUCCUCAUGUACCGGCGCAUCC
rnacentral:snRNA from 1 species